UGAAGUGAAGGCCAAAGGGCACCAUAACUCGCCCAAACCAAGAAACACCUAUGACGCACAAAGAACCAGAUCUCAGAUCACUAAUUAAUGAAGGAAAAAAGAUUCACUACUUCUUUCAAGAAAAAGAUAGCUCCUAAUACUUUACAUCUUUCUCACUAAGAUAUGGUAAAAAGGAAAAAAGUAACAUUCGUUUUUUGGAAAGAGAAUCUUUCUCAUUCCCUUCUUGAAGGAUGAGUACUGGAUCAGCAAAAGGCCAGCUAAAUCACCAUAUUUCAUCACACCAUCAUCUUAAAAGCACCAUAUGACUAAGACUAACACUUAAAACAAAGCUAAACGCAUACAAAGAUCCAUAAGUAAUCCAUUCAUAAUGUCUCUCAUAAAAUAUAUAUCGACUUACAUCUUAAAAUGACCUACAUUUUCCAAUAACAAAGCUUUUUAUUCAGAUCAAGCAGUGUACUACCAUGUAUCUAUAUACUCCUAUCGCAGAGUUGUCAAGGGUCACCGCGAUCACUCCAGCAAACUAGCAUCACGAUGCACCGGCGGAGUAUGUAGAAUCUGGCCCUUUGCUCCCUCACCAACAGCCGGCACCUCCGGCUAAACGAGCAGCACUGUAAGCUCUUCUCUCUUUUGGCCAUUGCCACCUUUCCCUUUCCCCUCUCUUCACGCCCUAAGUUUGCCACUUGAACUGAGGAGGAAGUGUGGGAGCUGGAGAUAAGAGAGAAAGGGAGAGAUGGUGGUUUUUCUAUGACAUCUGCCGGUGCUGAGUGAGAGACUCGAGGGUUUCUUUUAUUCCCCCACCUUGUCCUUGCCGGAAUGGUGCGAGUCCUCCACACCAUAACCCAAGGUGGAGGCUCUACUGCAACCAGUUGCUACUAGAAAUCGAGGGGGCCCGGGCCAGUCAUUAAUUAGGGUGUGG
rnacentral:lncRNA from 1 species